rnacentral:rRNA from 1 species
AUGCAGUCGAGGGGCAGCAUCAUCAAAGCUUGCUUUGAUGGAUGGCGACCGGCGCACGGGUGAGUAACACGUAUCCAACCUGCCGACGACACUGGGAUAGCCUUUCGAAAGAAAGAUUAAUACCGGAUGGCAUAGUUUUCCCGCAUGGGAUAAUUAUUAAAGAAUUUCGGUUGUCGAUGGGGAUGCGUUCCAUUAGGCAGUUGGCGGGGUAACGGCCCACCAAACCUACGAUGGAUAGGGGUUCUGAGAGGAAGGUCCCCCACAUUGGAACUGAGACACGGUCCAAACUCCUACGGGAGGCAGCAGUGAGGAAUAUUGGUCAAUGGACGAAAGUCUGAACCAGCCAAGUAGCGUGAAGGAUGACUGCCCUAUGGGUUGUAAACUUCUUUUAUACGGGAAUAAAGUGAGCCACGUGUGGCUUUUUGUAUGUACCGUAUGAAUAAGGAUCGGCUAACUCCGUGCCAGCAGCCGCGGUAAUACGGAGGAUUCGAGCGUUAUCCGGAUUUAUUGGGUUUAAAGGAAGCGUAGGCGGGUUGUUAGGUCAGUUGUGAAAGUUUGCGGCUCA